AAAUUUUAAGUUCUCCAAACUAUCUUGUCUAAGUCCUUGAAAUGGGGAUAUGAGGGAUAGGCCGUAAGGCAUGCUGAGAAAUCGGUAUACCGCCCGUAUUUGGAAAGGAGACGAUUUCUAUAAAGC
rnacentral:ncRNA from 2 species